rnacentral:rRNA from 1 species
UCGGGAAUUUUGGGCAAUGGGCGAAAGCCUGACCCAGCAACGCCGCGUGAAGGAUGAAGUAUUUCGGUAUGUAAACUUCGAAAGAAUAGGAAGAAUAAAUGACGGUACUAUUUAUAAGGUCCGGCUAACUACGUGCCAGCAGCCGCGGUAAUACGUAGGGACCAAGCGUUGUUCGGAUUUACUGGGCGUAAAGGGCGCGUAGGCGGCAAUUCAAGUCAUCUGUGAAAUCUCCGGGCUUAACUCGGAACGGUCAGAUGAUACUGCUUUGCUAGAGUGCAGAAGGGGCAAUCGGAAUUCUUGGUGUAGCGGUGAAAUGCGUAGAUAUCAAGAGGAACACCUGAGGUGAAGACGGGUUGCUGGGCUGACACUGACGCUGAGGCGCGAAAGCCAGGGGAGCAAACAGGAUUAGAUACCCAAGUAGUCCCUGAGCGGGCUGGCAAGGCGCAU